rnacentral:rRNA from 1 species
GAGUUUGAUCUUGGCUCAGAGUGAACGCUGGCGGUAGGCCUAACACAUGCAAGUCGAACGGCAGCACAGUAAGAGCUUGCUCUUAUGGGUGGCGAGUGGCGGACGGGUGAGGAAUACAUCGGAAUCUACUUUUUCGUGGGGGAUAACGUAGGGGAAACUUACGCUAAUACCGCAUACGACCUACGGGUGAAAGCAGGGGAUCUUCGGACCUUGCGCGAUUGAAUGAGCCGAUGUCGGAUUAGCUAGUUGGCGGGGUAAAGGCCCACCAAGGCGACGAUCCGUAGCUGGUCUGAGAGGAUGAUCAGCCACACUGGAACUGAGACACGGUCCAGACUCCUACGGGAGGCAGCAGUGGGGAAUAUUGGACAAUGGGCGCAAGCCUGAUCCAGCCAUACCGCGUGGGUGAAGAGGCCU